rnacentral:misc_RNA from 1 species
UGCUGUUGCUGCUGGAAUUGUUGUUGUUGCUGCUGUUGCUGUUGUUGCUGUUGGUUCACAUAGAGAUUCGUCCUUGACAUCAAUUUUGGUGGACCCAUAGGCCCCAUUGCACUCCGUUGCAUUGGGUUCACAUUAGCUCGGUUCAUAGACUGGCCCAGCANNNNNNNNNAACUUGGGUGCAUCUGCCUGGCUCCAGACAUUCCACUUAUGCCUGACUGAGGGGCCCCUAG